rnacentral:rRNA from 1 species
GACGAACGCUGGCGGCGUGCUUAACACAUGCAAGUCGAACGAUGAAGCCCUUCGGGGUGGAUUAGUGGCGAACGGGUGAGUAACACGUGGGCAAUCUGCCCUUCACUCUGGGACAAGCCCUGGAAACGGGGUCUAAUACCGGAUAUGACACACGGCCGCAUGGUCUGUGUGUGGAAAGCUCCGGCGGUGAAGGAUGAGCCCGCGGCCUAUCAGCUUGUUGGUGGGGUGANGGGCCUACCAAGGCGACGACGGGUAGCCGGCCUGAGAGGGCGACCGGCCACACUGGGACUGAGACACGGCCCAGACUCCUACGGGAGGCAGCAGU